rnacentral:rRNA from 1 species
UACGGAGGGAGCUAGCGUUAUUCGGAAUUACUGGGCGUAAAGCGCACGUAGGCGGCUUUGCAAGUUAGAGGUGAAAGCCCGGGGCUCAACUCCGGAAUUGCCUUUAAAACUGCAUCGCUAGAAUUGUGGAGAGGUAAGUGGAAUUCCGAGUGUAGAGGUGAAAUUCGUAGAUAUUACGGAAGAACACCAGUGGCGAAGGCGACUUACUGGACACAUAUUGACGCUGAGGUGCGAAAGCGUGGGGAGCAAACAGG